AAACAUGUCUUUNUGAAUUAAAUUUAAAGUCUGACCUGCCCACUGAAUAAUUUUAAAUGGCCGCAGUAUUUUGACUGUGCAAAGGUAGCAUAAUCAUUAGUCUYUUAAUUGGAGGCUGGUAUGAACGGUUGGACGAAGUAUAAGCUGUUUCAUAUAAAUUUAUAAUAGAAUUUUAUAUUUUAGUUAAAAAGCUAAAAUUUUAUUAAAAGACGAGAAGACCCUAUAAAUCUUUAUAUUUAAUAUAAACUAAAUUUUUUUGAUUUAUUUUAUUUUUUUUAUAUUAAUUAUUUUGUUGGGGUGAUAUUAAAAUUUAAUGAACUUUUAAUUUUUUAAAUCAUUAAUUUAUGAAUUAUUGAUCCAUUAAUAUUGAUUAUAAGAUUAAGUUACUUUAGGGAUAACAGCGUAAUUUUUUUUGAGAGUUCAUAUCGACAAAAAAGUUUGCGACCUCGAUGUUGGAUUAAGGUAUAAUUUUGGGUGUAGCCGUUCAAAAAUUAAGUCUGUUCGACUUUUAAAUCCUUACAUGAUC
rnacentral:rRNA from 1 species